rnacentral:rRNA from 1 species
GAUGAACGCUGGCGGCGUGCCUAAUACAUGCAAGUCGAGCGAACAGACGAGGAGCUUGCUCCUCUGACGUUAGCGGCGGACGGGUGAGUAACAAGUGGAUAACCUACCUAUAAGACUGGGAUAACUUCGGGAAACCGGAGCUAAUACCGGAUAAUAUAUUGAACCGCAUGGUUCAAUAGUGAAAGACGGUUUUGCUGUCACUUAUAGAUGGAUCCGCGCCGCAUUAGCUAGUUGGUAAGGUAACGGCUUACCAAGGCAACGAUGCGUAGCCGACCUGAGAGGGUGAUCGGCCACACUGGAACUGCGACACGGUCCAGACUCCUACGGGAGGCAGCAGUAGGGAAUCUUCCGCAAUGGGCGAAAGCCUGACGGAGCAACGCCGCGUGAGUGAUGAAGGUCUUCGGAUCGUAAAACUCUGUUAUUAGGGAAGAACAAAUGUGUAAGUAACUAUGCACGUCUUGACGGUACCUAAUCAGAAAGCCACGGCUAACUACGUG